AACGAACGCUGGCGGCAGGCUUAACACAUGCAAGUCGAGCGCCCCGCAAGGGGAGCGGCAGACGGGUGAGUAACGCGUGGGAAUCUACCCAUCUCUACGGAAUAACGCAUGGAAACGUGUGCUAACACCGUAUACGUCCUUCGGGAGAAAGAUUUAUCGGAGAUGGAUGAGCCCGCGUUGGAUCAGCUAGUUGGUGGGGUAAAGGCCUACCAAGGCGACGAUCCAUAGCUGGUCUGAGAGGAUGAUCAGCCACACUGGGACUGAGACACGGCCCAGACUCCUACGGGAGGCAGCAGUGGGGAAUAUUGGACAAUGGGCGCAAGCCUGAUCCAGCCAUGCCGCGUGAGUGAUGAAGGCCCUAGGGUUGUAAAGCUCUUUCACCGGUGAAGAUAAUGACGGUAACCGGAGAAGAAGCCCCGGCUAACUUCGUGCCAGCCGCCGCGGUAACAC
rnacentral:rRNA from 1 species